GGGACUAAAUUGCAAAUAAAUUAAAAGUAUAGGGGUAAAGUGGUAAUUUUUUAUAAAUAUGAUUUUGGGUUAAAUUGAAUAAAUUAAAUAUUAAAAUGAGUUAAAUUUAUUCAUAUAGAUCAAGACAGACCUCAUACAGCUUUAGAUUGGGGCAAAGAGAAAGUCUUAGAUUAAUCGCCUCUGUUUCAACGUAUACUUGUCGAGGUAAGUUCGUGUAACUAAAUCGUGUUUAUAUGUUUUUAAUUGAAUUAUACAUGUGUCGUGAAAUGUCA
rnacentral:lncRNA from 1 species